UAGGAUUUUGAAGAGGGAGAAGUGACUUCUCCUUCCAUGAGAGAGAAGGGAGAAGUGGUCAAUUUCUUGGAGAAGUGAGAUUCCAUUACCGUUUCGGUUGCAUCGUGUUUUCAUGAUUAUCACUAAGGAAAUUGUUUUAACUUCAAUAAAAGAUAUACUUGCAGUUUUUAUACGACCGCAAAAAAUUUUUGCGGUCGUAUAUUGGUAUGACGUUGGCGUCGUCCGGCGUUGUCGUCAUCGUCCGAAGACACAUUGGUUUUCGCACUCUAACUUUAGUUUAAGUGAAUGGAUCUCUUUGAAAUUUUACCAUAAGGUUCAAUACCACAAAAGGAAGGUGGGGAUUGAUUUUGGGGGUUAUGGUACCAACAGUUAAGGAAUUAGGGGCCAAAAAGGGGCCAAAAAUAAGCAUUUUCUAGUUUCCAGACAAUAACUGUGGAACGGUGUAUGGAUCUCUCUGAAAUUAUACUACAAGUUUCCAUACCACAAAGGGAUGGUUAGGAUUUGCUUUGGGGGGUUAUGGCUCAAACCGUUUAGGAAUUAGCAGGGGUUAAAAAAUUUUGUUACAGGUAACUAGCCCAGGACUUAUUUGCAGCAGGAUUUUACUAGCCCUGUUGGAAGAACUGCUAGCCCGAGAAUGCUUUACAAAUCAGUUUGCUGCAUAAUUACAAAGUGGAUGUCCCUUGUUUUUAAGGCAGCAUUGUACACUGUAUUUAAUAAUUUUAGUUGACCUGCUUUUUAUUCUGUUGGUCCCACAUACAGAGCAGACUUUUUAUUGGCGUGCUCGGGAAAAUAACGGAAAUAUUCUCUGUUUUUUUUUUUUUCAUCAGCAACACGGCCUACCUUGCCCAGUGGGAAUCUUUCUUUCCGGGACACUAUUCCGCUUUUCCCGGUCGUAUUUGGCAUUUUUUGGGGAUGAAUUGUCAGUCUCAUUACCAAGGAUCCGGAAAUUUUUCCAGACAAUUUCGGUCAUUUUGAGAUGUUUGAAAAGUUUGUGCCCCUUUUCAAAUUGUCGAUAUCAACUUGACUAUAUUCAUAGCAUCAACGAACAUGACGAACUUGUAUUGCUGUUUCAUCGCAUGAAGGACAGUUUAGGGAAGGCAACAGUCUAAAAUUGAAAUGAUUUUAAUGACUCAAAAUGGUUAAUUUCUCAGACAUUGCUUACGUUUCUUUCGAUUUGACAAAAGUUAAAACCGGAAGUUUGCGAUAUUUUAAAGUACGAAUAAUUCCGGAUUCAUUUCCGGAUUUGUUUUGUUUAUCAAAUUGACAGGAAAUCACCGGCUUUUUAUGGCUUUUUUAUUUUAUUACCUUUAAAAGUGUUUGAAUAUAACAAAUAAUAGUUGCACUCGUUUAAUUUAGCAUGAAAUCAAUUUGCAUUUUACGAUUUAAAUAUUAAAUUUGUUGAAGACAAUUUCACGCAUGCGUAUUACAUAGUAAAUAAAGCACAUGUGUUACUCAUGAAAAAAUACUUUUUUCUACGUAAAUUUAGAUUUAAUUUUUAAAUCAGAAUUGAUGACUGUCUUUGAUGAAAAGUAAAUAAAUAAUGAUUACACUUGUCAGGGAACUAAUGUUUUAAAGAUAUUAUUCUGAGCUUGUGAUCACUGUCAGGUGUGAAUUAAAACCACAGGUAAAAAGUGAUUAGCGAUCAUUAGCCAAUGUUUCCCGGAGGCAUUGAUAUAGAUAUUAGGAGGGCCCUCAGGAUUAUCAAACUACUGUAGUGGCAGUUUUAUUACAGGAAAGGGAUUAUAAACAAAAACAAGUGAUCACAAGUGCAAAAUGGCGAUUAAGAAAUCCGAUUUCAAACAUUGAGUCAAUGAAAUGACCGAAAUUACUUCUGUAAAAAAAUAAAAUUUGUCCUAAAUCCCAAUUACUCGUUUCGGACAAAUAGUUUCAUCUUAGGACAUGACUGGCAAAUAUGACCAUUUCCGGACCCUUGCUCAUUACCCCUUUCAUCUACAGUUUUUCGUUUUAAAACUGACGAAGUUCCUGGGGUGCCCGUACUAAAAUAUUUAGAAAUAUUUGGUUGCAUGGAUUGGUUUCAUGCUCAACAGCUGUCCGACAAGACAGAUUAAUACGGAUCAAUACAUCACCCAGUACCUACAAUUGAACAUCUCGGCAUAAGAAAUCUACAAUACCCUGUACUGUUGUACUGAGAAAUCGAUAUUUAAAGUACGAGAAUUGCGAUCAAUACAUGAUACCAGGCCACUUAGAGUUAUUUGUUCUAUUUUUAAAAUAUGUACAGAAAAAAAUAGAAUAGAAUAGAAUAUUUUAUUUACCAAAUUAGGGCCCCAGGAGGGCAUAUAGCAUACAAACAAUAUUAUUAUAAACAAUAACAGGACAACAGGACCUGUACAAACUUUCAAAUUCUUGGAAUCCCGGAUGACGUAAUUGAAUCUGAUUGGCUAAGAUAGAAUAGUGAUGAAGGGAUUUUCCACUUUCUAUUUUGGAAACGCCAAGAAUUGUUUGUUACUAGUCCGUCGGGCAUAUUGGGUUAAAAAUUUUGAUUGCCCGAGGCGUAAAUGCUCAAGUCCCGGGCAUCGGGCUAGUGCAUUUUUUAACCCCUGAUUAGGGGCAAAAAAGGGGGAAAAACAAGGUUGUCCUGGUUAAUGGACAAAUACUUAAGUACAAAACAUAAUUUAAAGCAGUGUAAGGGAGAUAAAUCAAAUACAUCAUUGAAAUUAUCUCCCUUACACUGCUUUUAAAUUAUGUAUAAAGUAAUGGUUAAUGAACAAUUAAGGAAAUUUAAAACAGUGUAAGGGAGGUAAUCCAAAUACAAUGUUUUAGUUACUUCCCUUACACUGCUUUUAAAUUAUGUUUAAAGAAAUGCAUAUUUAUAAAGGAAGACCAGUAAAAAUAUCUGCAAAUGUUGCAUCCUUUUUUUUUACAAAAAUAUCCAUAUGAAAGAUUUGACACUAUAUUUUAAAUUCUACUAUAAAAUAGAUUAAGUUAGCACUAUGGUAAUUUUAAAUGGGUAAUUAUGGUUGCAAACUCCAUUGGAAAUUUGAAUUGAGAUUAUGACCAUAUCUUGAGGGAAAGAAUUUUUUUUGGUGAAAAAAAGGGGGGGGGGUAUAAAGAAAUUGUGGGGGGUCAAUUUUUUCUCAUUUCAGAUUUCAGAAAUUAAAAGUAAUUAUUCUUCAAAUAUUAUUUUUUUUUCAAAUUUCAAAUAUUGAAAAAUUUCAAGAAGUAAUCUUUAAUUGCACAGUAUGGUGCAUUAGAUUUGUAAAAUCUUUGACCACAUUUAUUUAUUUGUUAUGCCGAAUCUAACCGUGUAUUUAGAUUUUUAUACGACCGCAAAAAAAUUUUGUGGUCGUAUAUUGGUAUGACGUUGGCGUCGUCGUCGUCCGAAGACACAUUGGUUUUCGCACUCUAACUUUAGUUUAAGUGAAUGGAUCUUUUUGAAAUUUUACCAUAAGGUUCAAUACCACAAAAGGAAGGUUGGGAUUGAUUUUGGGGGUUAUGAUACCAACAGUUAAGGAAUUAGGGGCCAAAAAUAAGCAUUUUUCUAGUUUCCAGACAAUAACUUGUGGAACAGUGUAUGGAUCUCUCUGAAAUUAUACCACAAGUUUCUAUACCACAAAGGGAUGGUAAGGAUUUGCUUUGGGGGGUUAUGACUCAAACCAUUUAGGAAUUAGGGGUAAAAAAGGGGGAAAAACAAGGGUGUCCUGGUAAAUGGACAAAUACUUUAGUACAAAACAUAAUUUAAAGCAGUGUAAGGAGGUAAUUCAAAUACAUCAUUUGAAUUACCUCCCUUACACUGCUUUUAAAUUAUGUAUAAAGUAAUGGUUAAUGAGCAAUUAAGACAAUUCAAUUUGCAACAGCAUAGUGUAUUGCACAAAAGCAAAAAAUUGAAUAUAAAUUCAAAUCAUAUAACCAAUUCUAAGUUCUUUGACUACAGUUAUUCUGUGUCAGAAACCUUUUAUGUGUCAAAUAUUUAAUUACAAUCCAAAUUCAGACCUGUAUCAAGUGCGAAUAUUGUGUCCAUUUUUGCCCCAACUUUUCAGGGUUGGACCUCUGCGGUCGUAUCCAGCUGCGCUUGGCGAAACAAUUUAUUUCGAUUUUCAGAAGGAGUUCAACUAUUCUAAUUCAACAAGUCUAAGUUGUAUGCCAAAUUUUACAAAAAUCUGUGAUAUAGCCUGUUUACUGUAUAGUUUCACCUUAAAUAGCAAAAUUAUCACCAAGAUCAUCUUCUAAAUUUCACUAAAUAAUACAAAAUUUGGUGACUAUGUUGAACGAAUCUAUCCCAUCGAACUAGAGAUAAAUGAUACUACAGAUACAGUUAAGUCUGCCUCAUAUCUUGACUUACAUCUAGAAAUUGACAAUGAGGGUCGGUUGAAAACAAAACUUUACGACAAAAGAGAUGAUUUCAGCUUCCCAAUUGUAAACUUUCCAUUUCUAUGUAGCAACAUUCCAGCAGCGCCUGCAUACGGAUUAUAUAUCUCCCAAUUGAUACGAUAUUCCCGGGCUUGUGUUUCCUAUCAUGAUUUCCUUGAUAGAGGAUUGCUGCUCACAAGGAAGCUAUUAAGCCAAGAGUUCCAAAUGGUGAAGUUGAAAUCAUCCCUUCGUAAAUUUUACAGACGCCAUCACGAGUUGGUUGACCGUUAUGGAAUAACCGUUUUACAGAUGAUAUCGGAUAUGUUCCUUAUGUCGUAACUACAAUACCCUUCCCUUUUCACGAAUGUGACUUACUGAAUUAGACUAUCUACCGGAUUUGUAAUAACAUAAGCAACACGACGGGUGCCACAUGUGGAGCAGGAUCUGCUUACCCUUCCGGAGCACCUGAGAUCACCCCCAGUUUUUGGUGGGGUUGGUGUUGCUUAGUCUUUAGUUUUCUAUGUUGUGUCGUUUGUACUAUUGUUUGUCUGUUUGUCUUUUUAUUUUUGGCCAUGGCGUUGUCAGUUUGUUUUCGAUCUAUGAGUUUGACUGUCCCUCUGGUAUUUUUCGUCCCUCUUUUCUAGGAGGUCAACAAUUUAGAUAUUGUUGGUCAAUUCCUUUAAGGAGUUAUUGCCCUUAAAUGGCUUUUUUUCAAUUUUGCUUAUUACCUUGAAAACUAUGGUAGAUAUAUAGAGAAACUUUCAGUAGCAAAAACAAGAAAAAUUUUCAAUAGCAAAAAUAAAUUUGCAAGACUACAUGUAGAUCUAUGUUUAAGUCAUCAAAGCCAAAAUCGUCAGUCCUUAUAUGAGUUAUUGCUCUUAAAAUAGGAUUUUUACCCAUUUUUAUACGACCGCAAAAAUUAAAAAUUUUUUGGUCGUAUAUUGGUAUCAGAUUGUCGUCGUCGUCGUCAGGGUCGUCCGAAGACAGAUGGUUUCCGGAUAAUAACUUUAGUAUAAGUAAAUAAAAAUCAAUAAAAAUUUGAACACAAGGUUUAUAACCACUAAAGGAAGGUUGGGAUUGAUUUUGGGGGUUAUGGUCCCAACUGUUUAGGAAUUAGGGGCCAAAAAAGGGGCCCAAAUAAGCAUUUUUGUAGUUUCCAGACAAUAACUUGUGUUAAAGUGUAUGAAUCUCUCUGAAAUUAUACCACAAACUUCCAUACAACAAAGGGAUGGUUAGGAUUGACUUUGGGGGGUUAUGGCUCAAACCAUUUAGUAAUUAGGGGCAAAAAAAGGGGAAAAACAAGGGUUUUUCUGGUUAAAGGACAAUUGAGACAAUUUAAAAGCAGUGUAAGAGAGGUAAUCCAAAUCAAUUAAAAGAACACUGUUUGAUUACUUCCCUUACACUGCUUGUAAAUUAUGAAUUAAGAAAUGAUGAUUGUCUUGAGGUGAUUAGCUGUCAAUAUAUUUUUAGCAGUUACUAUUAAUUAAUAUUAAUUUUAGCCAUGACUAUGUAUGUCAUUUUAUAUUUUAAAACUUUUAUGAUGUAUUUAAAUGGGUAAUUAUGGUUGCAAACUCCAUUAGAAAUUUGAAUUGAGAUACUGACCAUAUCUUGAGGGAAAGAUUUUUUUUUGGGGAAUAAGGGAAAGGGGGGAGGUGAAAAGAAUUGGAGGGGAGGGCAAUUUUUCUCAUUUCAGAUUUCAGAAAUUAAAAGAAAAAUUUCUUCAAAUGUUUUUUUUGGGGGUUAAUAUUUAACAGCAUAGUGUAUUGCUCAAAAGCAAAAAACACGGGUAAAAUUUUUUUUUUGGGGGG